rnacentral:rRNA from 1 species
GGAAUUUUGGACAAUGGACGCAAGUCUGAUCCAGCCAUUCCGCGUGCAGGAUGAAGGCCCUCGGGUUGUAAACUGCUUUUGUACGGAACGAAAAGGUUUCUAUUAAUACUAGGAGCUCAUGACGGUACCGUAAGAAUAAGCACCGGCUAACUACGUGCCAGCAGCCGCGGUAAUACGUAGGGUGCGAGCGUUAAUCGGAAUUACUGGGCGUAAAGCGUGCGCAGGCGGUUUUGUAAGUCGGAUGUGAAAUCCCCGGGCUCAACCUGGGAACUGCGUUCGAAACUGCAAGGCUAGAGUGUGUCAGAGGGGGGUAGAAUUCCACGUGUAGCAGUGAAAUGCGUAGAGAUGUGGAGGAAUACCAAUGGCGAAGGCAGCCCCCUGGGAUAACACUGACGCUCAUGCACGAAAGCGUGGGGAGCAAACAGGAUUAGAUACCCUGGUAGUCCACGCCCUAAACGAUGUCAACUAGUUGUUGGUAGAGUAAAAUCUAUGAGUAACGUAGCUAACGCGUGAAGUUGACCGCCUGGGGAGUACGGUCGCAAGAUUAAAACUCAAAUGAAUUGACGG